AACGAACGCUGGCGGCAUGCCUAACACAUGCAAGUCGAACGAGAGCUUCGGGCUUAGUGGCGGAUGGGUGGGUGACGCGGGGGAAACUGCCCUUAAGUCUGGAAUAACUCCCCGAAAGAGGUCCUAAUACCGGAUAAAGUCCUCCGACCAAAGAUUUAUCGCCUUUGGGUGGGCGCGGGUUGGAUUAGCUGGUUGGUAGGGUAAAAGGCUACCAAGGCGACGAUGCAUAGCUGGUCUGAGAGGAAGAUCCGCCACACUGGGACUAAGACACGGCCCGGAAUACUACGGGAGGGAGGAGUGGGGAAUAUUGGAAAGUGGGGGGUGGCCUGAUCCAGCAAUGACGGGUGAGUGCUGAAGGCCUUGGGGUUGUGAAGCACUUUUACCCGGGAUGAUAAUGACGGUACCGGGAGAAUAAGCACCGGCUAACUCCGUG
rnacentral:rRNA from 1 species